ACGUAGGUGGCAAGCGUUGUCCGGAUUUAUUGGGCGUAAAGCGAGCGCAGGCGGUUCCUUAAGUCUGAUGUGAAAGCCCACGGCUCAACCGUGGAAGGUCAUUGGAAACUGGGAAACUUGAGUGCAGAAGAGGAGAGUGGAAUUCCAUGUGUAGCGGUGAGAUGCGUAGAUAUAUGGAGGAACACCAGAGGCGAGGGCGACUAUCUGGUCUGGAACUGAGGCUGAGGCUGGAAAGCGUGGGGAGGAAGCAG
rnacentral:rRNA from 1 species